CACGUAGGGUGCGAGCGUUGUCCGGAAUUAUUGGGCGUAAAGAGCUCGUAGGCGGUGUGUCGCGUCGGCCGUGAAAACCUGCAGCUUAACUGUGGGCGUGCGGUCGAUACGGGCAUCACUGGAGUUCGGCAGGGGAGACUGGAAUUCCUGGUGUAGCGGUGAAAUGCGCAGAUAUCAGGAGGAACACCGGUGGCGAAGGCGGUUCUCUGGGCAUGACCUGACGCUGAGGAGCGAAAGCGUGGGGAGCAAACAGG
rnacentral:rRNA from 1 species